rnacentral:piRNA from 1 species
UCCUACACUGGAUCAUCUGUCCUCUUUUAGG